rnacentral:ncRNA from 1 species
AUAAGUCACACGGGAGCUCGGCAAACCGGGCUGAGAGGGCGAAUGGAUGUUCGCCGACCGUUAACCUGAUCUGGAUAAUGCCAGCGUAGGAAUUGUGUUGCACAUGUCAU